rnacentral:lncRNA from 1 species
GCGAGGGGAUAGAAUAUAUGCACAGUAUUCCCUGCUUGAUGUAAAAAACGAUUAUUAGAGGGUUGAGUAUUGAUUUGAUAAUACAAUUUCGUAAAUAUUUACUUCUUGGAAAAAGUUUAAGGAGAAAAAUAAACAGGACCAGUAUUAAUCGGUUAAGAAGAUUGAAGUGAGAUCACCAUGAAGUUUUAAAUAUUUAUAAAAGAAGAAAAUCCUUUCGUAAGCAUUUUUCUAAAGAAGAACUCGAUACUAAUAAGAGAAUAAAGGCGAGAUAUGAGCUGUCUCGAAUAACAUAUGAAAGACAACUCAUCAGACCUAUCGAAUUGCCGAUUUGUUAACUGAUAUUUUAUCGAGGGACUUGGAUAUCUCGUUACGUUGGAUCAACUAUUAUUUAAAUUGAAAUUGUAUAACUUAUGUUUUAUAUUAUCGACGGGGUAAUUGAUAAAGUUGGAUAUCUUUUUUACCGACGAUAUAGUUUCAAUACUUGACGCUAGAUGGUAUUACGUGUAUCGUUCGAUCGAUCAUUCAAAAGUUUAUUAACCCUACGAUUUCUAUUAAUAACGCAAUUUGAAGUAUUGAAAUAUAGAAGACGAUAUCUUUGAACUAUAUUCUUAUGGGAAAAAAAAUAUAAUAAUAAUAAUAAUAAUAAUUAAGUUAUUAGCUCGGAUGGAAAAAGAAAAAAAAAAAAGAAAGUAUUUUAUAAGAUAUGGAAUAUUUUUCAUUAUUCAUUUGAUGUCAUCAUCUGUAAGAGAUAAGAAACCAAAAGAGAAUAAACGUAAUUUUCCGUUGA